UGAGUUUCUAAUAUGUAUUACAUAUAACAUACUGGUACGGGUGAUACGUGAUCAUAAGGAACUCGUAAACAGUUAGACUUGUAAACUAGUAGAGUCCAAGUUUCAUAGCUCAAACAGGGUAAACAUUGUAAUUAGCCUAGUAAAGCUUACUUUUUAAUAUUUAAACACUACAAAACACUACAGGAACCGGCAUUAAAGCUGCUGGCUUAAUAACAACCGCCUGAUAAUAUAUUGAAAAACCCAGACAAAUAGAUUCCGUGUCUAAUUUCCUAACGUUGGCUGCACCAUACACACACACAAUUAAACAUUCAUGUUUAUUUCCUCAUUCUCCUGCAGCUGACGGUACGCUGCUCUUACAUGCAAAGUAUCUGACGAGAUGACAUUUACACAUCCGUUUUAUAUCACAUAUAUAAAUAUAUAGGGGACUUAAUAAAACAAAGAUUUUCAGUUCCUAAUUAAUUAACAAUCAUGAAUAUCGCAAUAAACCUGCAAGUUGCUGGGUUUUUUUUUUUUUUAAAUGAAUUCACCCACAAUAAUGUUUUUGUCACUAAUAUGUACUUUCUUUGUCAGGAAUAUAUAACGUUUUGUUGUUGUUUUGCACCCUUUAAGACAGGCCGAAUCCUAUGCUGUUUCUUGAAUGUCUAUUGUCUUUAUACGCUCGGUAUGAUGUACGGGUCGAAAGUAAUGCACGACAUACAGUACCCUGCAGUAUAAGAUUUCUUAUUGAGCUGUAGAGUAAGUGCGCAUCUGAUCAUGUCUGAUGGAUUAUUGUCGGCUAUGUAAACACUUCAAUGUGAACACUGUGUUAUAUAUAUAUAUAUAUAUAUAUAUAUAUAUAUAUAUAUAUAUUGGACACACUUUUCAGCAAAACAAUUCUCUUGUAUCAAAAAUUCUCUAGAAGUUUCUUAAACAAACACUGAGACGCACUGUUGUGUUUUUUGACAUCCUCUUUUUAAAUAAAACAAAAGAAAGUUGUAAAACUAAUCAGACACGUUAAUACACUGAAAACUUACACACAUCCAUUUAGUGGUCUACUUUACUUCCACUGCAAAGAUGAACUCUGUCUUGUUUUUGUUUGUUUGUUUUUCUGAACUGUCCAGACAUGUUCACUUGAAGGACCAGACCAAAGUGCUUCUACAAUUCCUAAGCAAAACUAUUAAGUCCCAAAGUACUAUACAAGAUGCUGCACUUAACAUAGAUAGUACUGUGUUCACAUGAGUCAGUACGAUAACUAAAAACAUAUAUCUUGUCUGGACAUUUUCUUGUCUGGAGUCAAAUCCCAAAUGGCUAAUUAUUGAACACAAUAGUGCAGGACGUAUAGGGGCUGAGAGUCAUUCUGAACUCAUGUAGGACACAUGUAUAGGGAAUAGGGAGCCAUUUGGGAUUCGCCCGAGUCAAAAGUCAGACAAACGGAAUAAAGUGGAAAGAGAGAGAAAGUUAUUGAAGGUUUCUGCAGCAUGAAGCUACAGGUCGGUUACUCACCCCGGCUGAAUGCUCCAGGCUUUACCUCGGCUGAGCAGAGCUGUGGAGAGGAUUCGCCGUGUGGGAGCUCAACUCAGCAGUAUGGCCCAAAAUGGCAGCACCGAGACGGAGAACCGGCCA
ensembl:lncRNA